UGGGGGACGUGCCGCGGAGGAAAGUCCGGACUCCCCAGGGCGCGGUGGUGGGUAACGCCCACCGUCCGGUGCGUUCGCGUACGGGAUAGGGAAAGUGCCACAGAAAGCAAACCGCCUCGCCGCCGGGAUUCACGUCCCGACGUCGCGGUAAGGGUGAAACGGUGAGGUAAGAGCUCACCAGCAGGCCGGGCGACCGGCCUGGCUCGGCAAACCCCACCGGGAGCAAGACCAAAUAGGGGAGCAGCGGGAGACAGCGUGGGCGUCGAAGGGCCGGGCGACCGGACCUCGCGAGCCUUCGUCCCGCACGGGUCGGCCCGACCCGUCAUCGACUCCCGGGUAGGUCGCUCGAGGCGUCGGGAGACCGGCGUCCCAGAGAAAUGAUCAUCCGAGGCCGGAUGGAGCGGUCCCCGUUCCUCCGUCCCCGACAGAAUCCGGCUUACGCCACCGC
rnacentral:RNase_P_RNA from 1 species